AAAAAAAAAACAUUCCGGAAGUGUUCCAGGCCUCUAGGGGGCGCGCUACGUGGAACAGAUUGAUGUCUGACCAGACAUAGAGGGAACGAACAAGAGUGCUGCAAAUUGAAGCCGGAGGAAACGAAGUUGAUCGAAGUGGAAAAAGACGAUAUAUAAAAAGACCUCUCAGGCACCCACAACCAGCGUCUGAUCGGGAUGGAGCACCAACCCCAUUCCAGGAAGAGGUCCAGUCUGCCCCGGGUCAGAACCACUUCUAUAGCAACUACACAACUGUGUAUGCACUUAUCAUUAUUGAUAGCCAGUCUGAGCCAGAAGACACAAUGGAGCAACGCACAGAAUACCUGACUGCGGCACACAUUGUUGCAGAACUCUCUGCAAAAAUAACAAAUACAUCUUGCAGCAGGUUCAAUAUGAAUAGAGCCAAUGUGUGGGAUGGAGCAAUCCGCGGCUUCAAAGGUGCCUCAUUCGACCCCUCUCAUGAGAUGUCAGUUAAGUUCACUGAUGAUGAGGGACACACUGAGGAUGGAGGGGACAC